AGCAGCCGCGGUAAUUCCAGCUCCAAUAGCGUAUAUUAAAGUUGUUGCAGUUAAAAAGCUCGUAGUUGAAUUUUGGAUUCUGCCAAUUGGUCCAUCUUUUAGAUGAGUACUGGUUGUGUGGGGUCUAUCCGCCUGGUGAUACGUAAUGUCCUUUAUUGGAUGUUGCGGGUAGUCAGGACCUUUACCUUGAAAAAAUUAGAGUGUUUAAAGCAGGCUUAUGCCGGAAUACAUUAGCAUGGAAUAAUAGAAUAGGACGAAGUUGUUUUAUUUUGUUGGUUUCUAGGACAACCGUAAUGAUUAAUAGGGAUAGUUGGGGGCAUUAGUAUUCAAUUGUCAGAGGUGAAAUUCUUGGAUUUAUUGAAGACUAACUACUGCGAAAGCAUUUGCCAAGGAUGUUUUCAUUAAUCAAGAACGAAAGUUAGGGGAUCGAAGACGAUCAGAUACCGUCGUAGUCUUAACCAUAAACUAUGCCGACUAGGGAUCGGGCGAUGUUGUUUCCAUGACUCGCUCGGCACCUUAUG
rnacentral:rRNA from 1 species